rnacentral:rRNA from 1 species
GACAGGGGAUGCAAGCGUUAUUCGGAAUUACUGGGCGUAAAGCGCACGUAGGCGGCUUUGUAAGUAAGAGGUGAAAGCCCAGAGCUCAACUCUGGAAUUGCCUUUUAGACUGCAUCGCUUGAAUCAUGGAGAGGUCAGUGGAAUUCCGAGUGUAGAGGUGAAAUUCGUAGAUAUUCGGAAGAACACCAGUGGCGAAGGCGGCUGACUGGACAUGUAUUGACGCUGAGGUGCGAAAGCGUGGGGAGCAAACAGG